rnacentral:lncRNA from 1 species
CUCAGGUGGCAUCAUGGAACCUGCCGACAUGUGAUGUCUCCCCGGGAAAAUAGAAAAGAACCCACAAAGAAUUAUUGGAGGUCGGAUCCCCUAAUAUCUGGUGCACCAACGUGGUUUUUUCCUUUUCCCAAGUGCAUGUGGGAACCCGAUUCCCUUUUGUAGGUGCACAGAAACGUCAUUGGUUUGGUCCACAGAAAUGCAGGUUCGACUCCCUGACAACUGAUCCUGUGAAAACAGUGUUUCAAACAUGAUGUAUCAAAAGAAACGUUGACCUCUGUGAGAAGAAUCCACACAUCACAAAGAAGUACACAGAUAGCUACUUCCUAGUUUUUAUAUGAGGAUUUUUUUUUUAACCAUACACCUCAAAGGGCUUCAAAAUGCCCCAUGUAGAUUCUACACAACUAGUGUUUCCAGCCUCCUGAAUUAAAGGAAAGGUUUAUCUCUGUGAGAUGAAUCCACACAUCAAAAAAGCAGUUUCACAAACAGCUUCUUUCUGGUUUGUGUCUGGGGGUAUUCGGUUUUUCACUGCUUCCUGAAAGGGUUUCCAAAUGUACCUUUGCAGAUUCCAUAAAAAGAGUGUUUUUAAUCUGCUGAAUCAAAAGAAAGAUUUAACUUUGUGAUUUCAAUCCAGAUAUCACAAAGCAGUUUCACAGAUAGCUUCUUUCAGUUUUUAUCUGGGGAUAUUUGGUCUUUUACCAUAGGCCUCUAAGGACUCUGAAAUGUCCCUUGAAAGAUUCUACCAUAAGAGUUUUUCCAAUUUACCGAGUCAAAAGUCAUGUUUAACUCUGUGAAACGAAUCCACACAUCACAAGGCAGUUUCACAGAUAGCUUCUGUCUUGUUUUUGUCUGGAAAUAUUCGGUUUUUCACCAAAAAAAUCAUGGGCUUCAAAAAGUCCCUUUGCAUAUCCUACGAAAAGAGGAUUUCACACCUGCUGAAUCAAAACAAACGUUUAAUUCUGUGAGGUGAAUCCACACAUGACAUGCAGUUUCAGAGACACUUUCUUUCUAGUUUUUAUCUGGGCAUAUUCUGUUUUUCACCGUAGGCCUCUACGGUCUCCCAAAUAUCCCUUCGCUUAUUCUAACUGAAGAGUAUUUCAAACUUGCUGAAUCAAAAGAAAGGUUUAACUCUGAGUGGUGAAUCCACACAUAACAAAGCAGUUCCACAGGUAGCUUCCUUCUGGUUUUCAACUGGGGAUAUUGUUUUUUUCACCAUAGCCUCAAUGGACUUCAAAAUGUCCCUUCUCAGGUUCUACAAAACAAGUAUUUCCAACCAGCUGAGUCAUAGGACAGGCUUAUCUCUGUGAGACGAAUCCACACAUCACAAAGCAGUUUCACAGGUAGCUACUUUGUAGUUUUAUCUGUGGAUAUUCUGUUUUUCACCAUAGGGCUCAAAUACCUUCCAAACCUCCCUUCUCAGAUUCUGCCAAAAAGUGUUUCCAACCCACUUAAUCAAAAGAAAGAUUUAACUCUGUAGAUGAAUCCAAACAUCGCAGAGAAGUUUCACAGGUAGCUUCUUUCUAGUUUAUAUAUGGGAAUAUUCAGUUUUUCACCAUAGGUCUCAAUGGGCUCCCACAUGUCCCUUUCCCGAUUUUACCAAAAGAGUGUUUCCAAACUGCUGAAUCAAUAGAAAAAUUUAAAUCUGUGAGUAGAUUCCAUACAUCACAAAGUAGUUUCACUAAAACCUUCUUUCUAGUUUUUAUCUUUCAAUAUUCAAUUUUUCACAGUGUGCCACAAUGGGCUGGCAAUGUCCCUUCACAGAUUCUAGCAAAAGAAUGUUUGCAAACUGCUGAAUCAAAAGAAAGGUUUAAGCCUUUGGGCUGAAUCCACACUUAACAAAGCAGUUUCACAGAGAGCUUCUUUGUACUUUUUAUGUGGGGAUAUCCAGUUUUUCACCAUAGGCAUCUGUGGGCUUAUAAACGCUCAUUCACAGGUUCUAUCUAAAAAGUAUUUCUAUCCUGCUGUAUCAAAAGAAAGAUUUAACUCUGUGCAAUGAAUCUACACAUCACAAAGCAGUUUCACUGAUAGCUUCUUUCUAAUUUUUAUUUGGAGAUAUUCAGCUUUCCACUAUAGGCUUAAAAGGGCUCCCAAAUGUCCCUUUGCAGAUUCUACCAAAAGAGUGUUUCCAACCUGCUGAAUCAAAAGAUAGGUUUAACUCAGUGAGGUGAAUCCAUACAUCACAAAGCCGUUACAUAUUUAGCUUAUUUCUACUUUUUAUCUGGAGAUAUUCUGUUUUUCACCAUAGACCUCUAUGGGCUCUUAAAUGUCCCUUCACAGAUACUAUUUAAAAAAUGUUUGAACCAUGCUAUAUUGACAGAAAUAUUUAACUCUGUUAGAUGAAUAAACACAUCUCAAGCAGUUUCACAGUACUUACUUUGUAGUUUUUAUCUGGGGAUUUUUGAUUCUUCAUUACAUGCUUCAAAGUUCUCUAAAAUGCCCAUUCGCAGAUUCUUCAAAAAGGUGUUUACAAUCUGCUGAGUCAAAAGAAAGGUUUAACACUGUGAGAUGAAUCCACACAUAGGAAAGCAGUUACACAGACAGCUUCUUUCUACUUUUUAUCUGGGGAUAUUCAGUUUUUCACCUCAGGCCUCUAUGGGCUCCCAAAUGUCUUUCCACUGAUUCUAGCAAACAAGUGUUUCCAAGCGACUGAAUCAAAAGGAAUGUUUAACUCUGUGAGGUGAAUCCACAUAUCAAAAACAGUUUUACAGACAGAGUCUUUCUAGUUUUUAUCUUGGAAUAUUCGGUUACUCACCAGAGGCCAGAAAGCCUCUACAAAAUGUCCCUUCAUAGAUUCUACCAAAAGAGUGUUUUUAUAAUGCUGAAUGAAAAGGAUGGUUGAACUCUGUGAGAUGAAUAAAUACAAGACAAAGCAGUUUCACAGAUAGCUUGUUUCUAGUUUUAAUUUGCAGAUAUUUGGUUUUUCACUGUAGGCUGUAAAGGGCUCCCAAAUGUCCCUUUGCAGAUUCUACCAAGACAGUGUUUUCAAUCUGCUGAAUCAAAAGAUAGGUUUAACACAGUGAGAUGAAUCCACACAUCACAAAGCAGUAUCACAGAUAGAUUCCUUCGAGUUUUUAGCUGGGGAUAUUGUGUUUUUCACCUUAGGUCUCUAUGGGCUCCCAAAUGUCACUCUGCUGGUUCCACA